GAUUGGAGUCUGCAACUCGACUCCAUGAAGUCGGAAUCGCUAGUAAUCGUGGAUCAGAAUGCCACGGUGAAUACGUUCCCGGGCCUUGUACACACCGCCCGUCACACCAUGGGAGUGGGUUGCAAAAGAAGUAGGUAGCUUAACCUUCGGGAGGGCGCUUACCACUUUGUGAUUCAUGACUGGGGUGAAGUCGUAACAAGGUAACCGUAGGGGAACCUGCGGUUGGAUCACCUCCUUA
rnacentral:rRNA from 2 species